GGUGGCCUGGCAGGUCCUCUGCUAUGAUGGAGGAGUGACCAGACCAAGUAUGAAUCACAUUGCAACCCCACGUGCCAGAGCACAACUCUGCUCACUCAAAUUUGCUCAGCUGCCCCUCCAACAUGAUCCCUAGAUCAAAUCCUUUUUCCACCUCAGGCAGAAUGGGGAGUUGAAUCUGGGUCUCCCAAAUCACAGGGCAUCUCAGACUCAUCAUCCAAGAGGUAGCCCCUCACAGCAAGAUCCAGCAUUGCAGCCACUGCACCUCAUCUCCUCCUUCAUGCCAGGACCUGCGGCUUCCAACAGCAAGCCCAUUCCAACAGGAGGCCCGAAGCAGAACCCUAGAGAGGAGGGCAUGGGCAGGGAAUAGGAGCAGGGCUAUAGAGGACCCACCUGCUGGGAUGGAGAGGAGGAACCAGAAGCACUUGGAUUUCUUCUGGGCAAGACAGGACCAUUCCCUUGCCCAGGAGAAGACUGGCUGGCUGCUUUUUGGAGGAGGAAAGGCAUAAAAAGGAAUGGGAGCAUUCCCUUAAUGGAGUGAUUAGUAGAACUGGUGGCUGACAGAGUGCAGUGUCCACCUGCUGCCAAAGCCCCAG